CCCUUAGAUGUUCUGAACCGCACGCGUGUUACACUGAUGCAUUCAACGAGCUUUACCUUGGCCGAGAGGCCUGGGAAAUCUUUUUAGCAUGCAUCGUGAUAGGGAUUGAUUAUUGCAAUUAUUAAUCAUGAACGAGGAAUUCCUAGUAAACGCAGAUCAUCAAUCUGCAUUGAUUACGUCCCUGCCCUUUGUACACACCGCCCGUCGCACCUACCGAUUGGAUGGUCCGGUGAAGCCUCGGGAUUGUGGCGGUUGCCUUUAUUGGUGGCCGCCGCGAGAACUUGUCUAAACCUUAUCAUCUAGAGGAAGGUGAAGUCGUAACA
rnacentral:rRNA from 1 species